CCCCCCUAAAAAAACCUUUUCUCGAAGUUAAAGCACUGGUGCCUCUUCGUCUCUAUCAUCUCCGUCAAUCCUCUUCUCAAAACAAAAAAUCUCCGUCAAUCCUAGCCUGCUCAUGACCACAUCCACAUACACCAGUGCCUUAAAUAAGGAUCCGCCGAAGGAAGAUUUCACUGCUGGCUUAUGCGAAACUAAUUCCCGACCUAUCCAGGCGCUACUUCUUGUCUCUUAUCUUCAAUUUUUUUGUUUUGGCGCUGUCCUCAAACCCUAGCUCUGCUGAUCUUAGGUUGGGCAUAAAGCUGCGACGAACCCGUGUGUGUAGGUCUCAGCUCAUUGGCGCGAGUUCUCGCCUUCCUCAUUUCUGGUGCGGUCGGCCCUCCGCCAAUGUAAGUCCUACUGCUUUGCAUAGUUCCUGGUACAGAUCGUCUGUUCUACUCUGUCCAUAGCACUAUACAGUACAUUGUGUUUUAUUUGUUAUCACCAUGCCCUGUCAAAUUAGAUUAUUUAUACAUAAAUAAGUGAAUGCAAGAAGUUUGUAUUUAUUAAUUCAGAUUUUUUGGUCGUUAGAAUGAAGUAGAGAUGCCGAAGCAGAUUUUGAAGAAAUAGUAAUACAGGAUAUGUGUCUGCUGGCUGAGCCCAGUUGUGGGCCUCCUCGUUGUUUAUGAUGUCGGGUUUCCACCUACGUAAUUUGCUACAGCUUCACAUCAUUCCUACUUCCUCCAUAGCAGGUGAUUCUUCACAUGUAUGUUUUCCCCCUCUAACCAAGCUAAAAGGAUAUAAUGGUUUUAUUUGUUAUUACCAUAUAUUAGCAAGUGAUAUUACUUGUACAUGUAUUUAACGCGAAGCAAUACACAUGUGUUAUUUGACAUAGAAUGGGUUUUCUAUAUGAUGAAUAUAACGUUGGAGCUUUUCUAAUGUUUCUCUCGAGCUGGAAAGACUGUAGUUUAGAAGAGUUGUUAUAUGAAGAACACAAACCUCAUAUUUCAAAUAAAUACUAUAUGGCUUGCUUCUGGUAGUGCUAACUUCAGAGCCUUCAUCAACCUCUUUGGUAUUUUUUUUGUGCUCUCCUUGCGGCUGCAGUAAAAGUACAUAUUAUUUUGCCACAACGACAACUGACUCUUCAUCUUAAAGCGGGGGGAAACCCUUUACCGUCUCUUCAAGCAUCGUAUUUUUUACUUUUGCUUCAACAUUUUUCUUGUUCCCAGCGUUACAAUUUCUCCUUUCUUUUUGGCACGCUUAUCUCGGGCCAUUCAUCCUCAGAGCCAUCCGAUAAUACAGUAGAUCUUUAUAUUUUUCUUUUUUCAUUGCAGAGUCCAUGUGAUUCUAACAUUUUUUCUUCACACCUAUCGUCAUUUAAUAUAGCCUCAUUAGUAUUGUGGGGUUCUUCUUCCGUAGGCACUAGUUGACAUCUUUUUCUGAGGUGAAGCUCUGUUGUUAUUUGUCAGCGAAAUAAAAGUACAUUUCAAAGAUUAGGCCCAUCUCUAAAAAUUGAGAAGUAUGUACGCUGAGAAAAUCAGUCACCCUUUUAUCCUCCAUGUCAUGCUUCUUCCUUGAUUUUUUUUAACAUGGCGUCCACCUUAUCACCCAUCAAAAUCUACGCAUAAUAUCUGAUGUGUUAGUUAGGAAAUUACAAAAAUAGUAUUUAUUUUGUAAAGAAUUAAAUGGAAUUACCUCGGUUUUAUCUUUCAAGUACAACAUCUCAAGCCUAUUAAUUAUCAGGCAUAAAUAUUCCUCUACUGCCUAGUUUUUGUUCCAAAAGUGAGAUUGCCAUUGCGAGUUUAAUUGAAAAUAAGUCUUCCGCGACAUUAUUGUUGUAUAAUCUUUGGCGCUUCUUCAUAUUUCUCAUCCAAUGAGUUCAGCAAGUGGGAGACAUAAUUAAGUAAAAUAUGGUUCCAUAUUAACUGAUAUUGAAUUGUUUUCACUGCAGGUAUUAACAUCAUUUUUGUCGUAAAAAAGUGGCGAUUUCAUAUCUUAUAAGAAGUCUCAUGCAUUACCUCACUUGCCUAGUUUUUGCGCCUCAUUUCAGUAAGUUCUUGCAAUGUUCUCCUCUUGUAAAACACUUGUUCUUCUAGUGAAAAAUUAGUUGAUUAAUAGUAAAAAAUAGUCUCCCAUGCAUGUCAAGAAUUUCCCAAGUUUUGGUAUAUCUUGAUCUGUAUGUAUUUUUGUGGCACUGGUUGACUUUAAGCACGACCAUGUUUAUCAAUGAAAAAUCUGUUAGAUAUAUCUUUGGUAAAAAAAUAGAAGAGCUAGUAACAUUAAUGAACUUAUUGAACUUCUGCACCAUUGUGAGGUCACAAUAAGGACAGUUUGGUUUCACAUGCUUCAUUUGGUUGAGUAAUCCAAUGACAUCUGUAAAAUUGGAGAUUAAUUAUUUGAAAGUCUAAAAUAUUAAUAUUUUGAAAUCUCAUUUACAACUAUAAAUUAUAGAGAUACCUGAGCAUUCUUCAUCUUUCUCUAUAUGUUCUUCUAAUAUUUCCUCCGUAGCAAACUCGAAGUAGUAAUCUGGGUAACCUUUGAUUCUUUCACCUCCUGUACUUUUGUAUUGUAUGCAAAAAUAAUUAUAUUUCACUACUUAGCUGGUAAUACUUUGUGGAAUCCGCACUUAAAAUUCCUAAAUGCAUAAGUUGAUUCUAUCAACUUCCCGAUAGUAUCCUGAUUUGUUUGGCCCUGUUAGAAAAAUCAAAAUAUAGUAAGUAGUUAUUGUAUAAAAAAAUAGAAAAACUUGCAAGUCAAUAUGUAAUGACAAAACCUUAUCAUCCAUGAAUAUCAUAUCGGCAAAAUAUACUUAGUUGUUGUAUAAAACAAUAGAACAAUCUGUAAGUAAAUACGUAAUGACUAAACAUUUUUGUCCAUGAAUCAUCAUAUCGAGGCUCCUAAGCCAAUGACUUAUAAAAUUGAUUGAAUCUCAUAUUCCCAUUACUUGCACUUGAAUGUCAAGGUCGUUCUUUUGCUAUGAACUCACAAAGAUUGUUGUAUGCCCUUGCUGCAAAAGGAUCAUACAAUUGCUAGUCAAUUAAUAUUGUACCUAUGAAUAUUUUAUCCAGAAUAACAAUUACAAACCUUGAUGCUCCAAAUGAGAGGCCACUCGAAAGAUAGAUUUGAUCUAGAAUAGAAGUUAUGAAACCUUGAUGAUCUAGAUGAGAGGCCACUCGAAAGAUAGAUUUGAUCUGGCAUAGAAGUUAUGAACCUUGAUGAUUCAGGUGAGAGGCCACUCAGAAGGUUGCUUGGUGUGACUUCGUCCGACGGCGCGACGUUGCGUAGUUCAAUUAGAAGACUUUGAUGUUGUUGGUAGUGUGCUGGUUAGGUAGCAGAUUUGGCUUACUUUGAUUUUUAGGUGUGUGCUGUGAGCGGUCGGCCGUAUGUCUUCUUAUGUGUUAUGGUUGACUUGGCAAGUAUUACGUGUUGAGUAAUUUUGGUUGAGUCCGUGUGGAGUUCUGUAUGUAGUCCAUGUAUGUGUCUUAUUUGUAUCUGCGUGUUCACGUUUGACUCUUUGUUUUUGACGCUGUGUUCACGUUUGGAAUUGGAUGCACGUGAGCUUCCGUAUCUUCAACGGUUUAUCCCUAAAUACCGUACGUGGUCAUGAUUGUUGCUAACAAAGCCUUGUUUUUUUAUGAACUUAGCCUAGCCUCAUGUCUUUCCUUACAUGCACUUUACAUAUGCAUAUAUGUGACAAUGCGACGGUCCAAUAUGUUGUUACGUAUAUGUUCUCCUAACAAAACCAUGUUACGUAAAAACUUUAAAUCUUAGUCAUUAUUUUUCUAAUCAGACGGUGCAAAUAAUAUUAGCAGAUGUGGACGAACGUGAUGACUAAUUUGUCUCUUGUCUUAAUAAUAUAAUAGAUAGAUGUGACAUGCCUUCCUGUAUUUAGUACAUGGUACAUCUGUCUAUUAAGCAUGUCCUCACAUAAAACUAUUGUUUUUUUAUAUCCCGCAUAAAUUAAUAUGACGAGACACCUUCAGUAUAUGCAGUGUGAUAUUAGUUGCAUCUUUGAUAUGAUUUAUAGCAU
rnacentral:lncRNA from 1 species